rnacentral:rRNA from 1 species
UACGUAGGAUGCGAGCGUUAUCCGGAUUUACUGGGUGUAAAGGGCGUGUAGGCGGGACUGCAAGUCAGAUGUGAAAACCAGAGGCUCAACCUCUGGCCUGCAUUUGAAACUGUUUUUCUUGAGUACUGGAGAGGCAGACGGAAUUCCUAGUGUAGCGGUGAAAUGCGUAGAUAUUAGGAGGAACACCAGUGGCGAAGGCGGUCUGCUGGACUGUAACUGACGUUGAGGCUCGAAAGCGUGGGGAGCAA